UUGGUCUUUACUUUAUCCUCCACACAAAUCCAGCAUAGCCGAAAAAUACUCUUCAAGUCUAGCCAUGGCCGUAUGUAGCUGUUUCCUCCAAGCUCCACCGUUUUCUCGCUUCUUAUCACCGGUUUUCUCCCGCCGCGCUCCGAAUCUCUUCCCCGGCUAUGGUCAGCUCAAAUCCACCGUCAUGUUCUCCUCCUCCUCCUCCGCCGCGAACCGAACCGGACCGUUGACAUCUCCGGUCAGAGCUGAAGUAAAGCGCGUCUCGCGCAAGGAAUCUGAAAUAGCUUCCGCAUCCGAUCUUCAAUUCGAGACGCCGUUGAAGAUUGUUGAGUAUCCGGAUCCUAUCUUACGCGCUAAGAGCAAGAGGAUUGGUGUUUUUGACGAGAAUUUGAAGAACUUGGCCGAUGCUAUGUUCGAUGUUAUGUACAAAACGGAUGGCAUCGGGCUCUCAGCACCACAAGUGGGGCUCAAUGUUCAACUCAUGGUGUUUAAUCCAGCUGGGGAGUCUGGUGAAGGAGAAGAGAUUGUUCUUGUUAAUCCGAAAAUCAAUAAGUAUUCUGAUAAAUUAGUACCAUUCAACGAAGGAUGCUUAUCCUUCCCUGGGAUCUAUGCUGAUGUAGUUCGACCACAAUCUGUCAAGAUUGACGCAAGAGACAUUACUGGCGCUAGAUUUUCGAUCAGUCUAUCACGUUUACCUGCACGAAUCUUUCAGCACGAAUACGACCACUUAGAGGAUCUGUCAAUGACAGGGAGUUCUCUUCUUCGACAGAAUGACGGAUGACGUUCUUGACACCAUUCGUGAAGAGCUAGAGGCCCUGGAAAAGAAGUACGAAGAGAAAACUGGACUGCCAAGCCCUGAAAAAGUACAAGCACGACAAAAAAGGAAAGCAGGAGUUGGUUUUGGCAAACGUCGAUGAGACAUUCUCGCUCAAUUCUCGUUUCAUCUUCGUUUAGGGUAUGGGAAUUAACAAUGGUAUGGGGAGCAGACAAUGACAAGAAACACGUUUGCCUUUCUAAAUCCAGAGGAGGACAUCACAUUGUGUGAUGCAAAUCUCCCAAACAUGAUGUACGGUUGUAACACAUAUCAUUUAUUUCAGAAUCUUUUUUUGCCAGAGUAAUAUAUUAUUCAGAUUGUCUGUUUGCGCUGUUAUAUAAUGUUGGCCUUUUACAUGUCAUGGUGUAACUUUGUUACAAACUAAAAUGCAUCACUUUUUACUUG